GAGCUAAUACCGGAUNUUGGUAGAGCAUCUGACUUUUAAUCAGAGGGUCAGAGGUUCGAAUCCUCUAUGGCUCACCA
rnacentral:tRNA from 1 species